UCUUCUCACCUUCCCGCUUGCCCAUGUCUCCCCUCCCUUUAUCUUUAUCCCUCUCCCUUCUCUGUUCUCACCCACCACAUUCCCUCUUUAUCUCUCUGUGAUCUGCAAGCUAUGGAACUCUCUCAAGCUCUGUAACGAAACGAUCUGAGCUCUCCAACACAGCUCUGUAACGAUCUGCAAUCUAUCAAACGAUCUGAGCUCUCCAACACAGUCAGAAUGGAAAGUUCAACUAUGGUUAUGCAAGCUCCCCUGGAAAAAGGUCUACAAUGGAAGAUUUUUAUGAGACAAGAAUCGAUGGUGUGGAUGGAGAGAUAGUUGGUCUCUUUGGAGUUUUUGAUGACAGUCAGAAUGGAAAGUUCAACUAUGGUUAUGCAAGCUCCCCUGGAAAAAGGUCUACAAUGGAAGAUUUUUAUGAGACAAGAAUUGAUGGUUUGGAUGGAGAGAUAGUUGGUCUCUUUGGAGUUUUUGAUGAUGUUUCCCCAGUUUCAUUUUGUUGAAGUAUUAUAAUAGCAGUUAACAACUAGAGUAAUUGGUUGGUACCAUUCACAUCCUCACAUCACCGUUCUUCCUUCCCAUGUUGAUGUGCAGACGCAAGCCAUGUAUCAACUUCUAGAUUCUGGGUUCAUUGGACUGAUAUUUUCAUGUUUUAGUGAAGAUGUGCAUAAGGUUGGAAGAAUCCAAGUUAUUGCUUUCCAGUCCUUGGAUGGCAAGCAGAAUCAUAUGUUGAGAGCACUUCCUGUGAGAGGUUCCAUUUUUUAACUGAAUCGACAGUUGGGUUUUCUUGAGUUGUCCAUUUCAUGGGUUUGUGCUGCUGGGUUUUCUGGUUUGGGUUCAUUCUGUUCUGUGCCUCCCAACGAAGUUGUUUUCAGUGAUCAAGAUGUAGCAGUGCGAGAACAGAGAGCUGCUUCUGCAACAGCGGUUGGCUCGACAGUUGAUGAUUCUUCACCCCCGACAUAGUUCUCCCAAAGGACAAAGUCGAACCUCUUGGUCUUCACAUCCAGCAUAUCCCUCUGGAAGAUGGAGCAGUUGGCCCAGACAAGAAUUCAUCACCAACUGAAACCGAGUUUCCUUCAGAAGACAAGGUCAAGAUGGGUCCAAGUGUUGAACACCAGUUCAUUCCGAGCUUCAAUGGCUGGUCUCCUCUGCACCAAAACAACAAACAGGACAGGGCUGCAUCUGAGAAUCUCUCUGCGUUGAGAGCUGCCCCCGAUGAGGGUAUUGUUGUUUCGCUGCAGUUGGGUGACAAUGAGCCCCCUAAGAGAAGGCGCUCAGAUCCCCUGACAGGUACAUGAAAGGGAAAAUGAGUUUUAGCUUGGAGUGGUAAAUCUGAGGGUCCAUUUGGAUAGUUGUGAAAAUCUUUUGAGUUCAUAGCACAACGGUUCAGCUUAUUGUAUGGAUGGUAUGCUGUGUUGUUGUAACUUUCUUACUAUUGACUGAUACAAAUGUACCAGGAGUGUUGCUUGUUUAAGUUGCAGUGAAUUAAUAGUUGGACUGUAAAUUAUUUUA